CUUUAAAAAUCUGGAUCAAGCUGAAAAUUGAAACGACACACUGUUUCAUUUCUCCGUAAUAAGAAAUGAAAAGCGGUGUGUUCGAGUCUCUCAAAUUUUUGCAGCACGAUGAUGAAUCGAAAGAAACAUCUUCGG
rnacentral:sRNA from 1 species